UGUGUGUGUGUGUGUGUGUGUGUGUGUGUGUGUGUGUGUGUGUGUGAUCUGAAAUCUGAUCUGUGUGUCGCUUCAGACGGAGGUUACUCUAUCCGUGUGACCCUACAACACAGUGAGGAGGCUGGCUCUGUUGUGCUUCUACUGAAAGGCUUUCUGAUCAGACAAAAGUUACCUUCUCAGCCAAUUAGAGCCUGAUGCCCUGGAGGCCUGUGUCCUCUCCCUGAGCCAGCAGGGGGCCUCAGUCCCACAGCGGGACACCCAGCUCUGGGUCAGCCUUCAGCCUGAACCCUCCAGCCCCGUCUCAAGCUGUCCCACCCUGCCUCCCCUCCCUCCUCUCCUCUUCCUUCUCCUCUUUCUCCUCCCUCCUGGCCCCCACAGGCCCACCUGGACUCCCAGUCAGCGUUCUCCCUCCAUGAGGGGCAGGGGGAGGCGCUUGGGGCCCUCAGGACGGACCCCCGGCCUCUUCAUAUUGAAACAUCUGAGAGCCUCUGGGACCUGGGACAACCAGCCUGCCACGAUGUCUCAACUUUAACAGACCUUUGUUCCGACCUGCCCGAGUUGGAGAUAGUGAGCCUCCUGUCUGAGGGUCAGCCCAGCUACACCCUGCGAGCGGACACGGUGUUCGGAUACGACCAUGACGACUGGCUGCAUACCCCUCUGCUGACACCAAUCGUGGCUCUGGGACUCACACACGAGCAGAUAGAAGAGACGCUCAAGU